UGUGUUGUAUUUUCUCCCCCUUCCUUUUUGAGGAGAGGGGGCAUGAGAGAGCGGUUGUGGUGGAGCUCGGCUGCCCACCUGAGUAAAACCACCACACUGAAAUAGAUAAAAUACCGAUGAUUAAGAGAUUAAAAUCAUAGUCUCAAAACCAGAUUUUACUUUGGCUCAAUGGGCUCUUGCAAAUGGACUUCCCAGCUUUCUAGUUCAGGAACCUUCAGUGGCUCCCUCAGUUGAAGUAACACCUCAGCAGGUUGUGGGUUUGCUGUUUUUUUCUGCAUCUCUAGGAAAAAUUUCCUUCUCUCCAUUGCUUUAGAGGUUUCAUUGCAGGUGCCUUUCCCUUCUCCUUCCCUUCCCUCCCCUCCCCUCCCCUCCUCUCCUCUCCCCUCUACAUAGCAGCUGGAAAAAUGUAAAAUGAGAAGAUUCAAAUUUGCUUUUAAUACUAUUUAAGUGGAAAAGAACUCACAUUUUUAAGUCUUUAUUUACUUUGUAAGUUAUUUAAAAGUGCUUAAAAAUGCGUAAAAAUCUGCAUGUCAAACAAAUGAUGUGAGAACCAAGUUCAGCUGGAAAAAUAUGUCCUUGAUAUCAAAAGUAACGUUAGAAAUAACAAAAAUUAUGUGUCUAAUAACCAGAAACAGAUGAAUCUUGCUCUGUGAUUUCUAGGUCAAGAGUCUUGAGAUGUGUUCCACAAGCCAAAAGACCAGAAUCCUUGGUAGAGGUGUUUAACAACUCAUUAGGAGUUAACUCCCUCUUAGGACAGUCUGAAAAUCCUAUCCGUUGAGAAAUGCACAGACAGUAAGAGAUGGAAGAUUGCUAACAGAGCAAAUCACUAAAAGGAAGCGAGCAGUAUAGCUGAAUUUCUUGGACACGAGCAACAAAAUGUCGUAUGGUCAGUGAGCUCUGUGUCACAGAGCCUGAAAAGAAGAACAUGUAUUUGAAAGAACGGUGCUCUUUAAAGGGAUUGCUAAGCCACGGGAUGUGAAAAAUAUGGAGCUGGAUUGUUUUAUCUCUGCCACAGAAUGAAUUUCUUAGAAGACUCCUAGGAACCCUCCCAGUGUCAUUUUUUUCUUGUUUACUCACAGAAUCACAGAAUUGAAGAAUCACAGAAUUACUCCCCUCUCCAUAAGUAUGGAUUUCAAUUUAACAGAAGGAUCUUGCUUGCACUACAAGGCAUAAUUUGAAAAAGCUUCUGGAUUGUUUUCUGGUGUCUUUUCUCCAAUUUAUGGUGCCUGGUGUUAUAAUGGGAGUCACAGAGCUUUCUGCUGGAGAGUUUUGCUAGACAUUCCCUUCUAGUUAAAUUCCACGAGGAGGAAUUCAGCAUCUGUAACUGCUCCAGCAGCAAGAAAAGGCACGGUGAACUUCAGAGUCCUGCUUAUUUUAGUCUGCACUUCCUUUCCAGUCACAGCAUGGGAUUUUACAUGAGCAAAGAGCACAUUUUAGUAUCUGCGAUGCACCAGUAGCACUGCUAGUUAUCAAGCUUGCGUGACAUUUCUUAUCAGAAAGCCCCAUUGGAGUGAGGAAAUAUAAGCAAGGUCUCAUCACUAGACUUUGGAGAACUAGAGUCAGUCUCCACUGCAGCGUUCCUAUGUGGCCAGUUCCUUUAAUCACAUUUUUCCCAGGAGUUUAUUUCAUUCUGUUUUCAUUGUCCGUCUUCAGAUCUCACAGGCAGAUUUGUGGAAACGCGUAAAAAUUCACAAAUGUAUCUGAAGCUACAGGGAACUGCCCUUUGAAAACACAAAAUGUUACCCAUUGUGAGCUACUCCGAUGGAUCAGCCUGAACUUGCAGAUGCUGUUAUCUCAGAGCCUGUGUUUCCCACCUGGAGGGUGGAGAUGAUAUAACUCCUUUCUUGCAGGAGAAUGUUGUGGGGAAAAAUGUUUGUGAAGCAUAUAUGUGCUAUGAGAGCCAGAGAGCAGGCAGUAGAAAAUUUAUGGUUGUCCUCACAGCUGAGACUGAAAUAGUGGAAAGUAAAUAGACCACAUGCAGAGUGAAGCUGGAAGAAUAAAUAAAAUGUUCAUUCUUUGCACCUAAUGAAGCAGGGGUCAAGGGGAAAAUAUGUAUAUGAUUGUAUAACUAAAGCCAGCAUCACAAUUUAACAAGGAAUUACAGAUUCACAGAUGUCUUUAACACUUCCUUAUUUUUCAGUGUUUGGUACAUUAUCUCUUAUGGCAGUUUUCUCCUUUAGGGAGGCCAGGGUAAGUAUAAAAUAGGUUUCCAGGAAAGAUUUUCUUGCUAGCUGAGGUGAGUGCACUGCUCUGCACAUAGUUGUUGUAUGGUAGUUGCUGUCACACCCUGUUGUUCCAUGUUGUUCCAAGAAUGCAUGGGAUGCUUGUCCAUAAUAGCAGUCCCAGCUCUGAAAUGCGUGACAAUCGGAGUUCUACUCUGAUUAAGAAUUAGCAGAGAAUUUACUAGAAACAACAAAACAAAAUCUGAUGUUGCAAAGCACUGGGAGAGUGUGUCAUUAAUCAACAAUUUCCUCAUAGACUUUCAGGGAAGGGAGUCUUCCCUGAAGAGAAGACUCCUGGAAGGGAGUCUAUUCAGGGGAGGGGAAGAGUUUCCCCUUCUUCUUCUUUGUUUCACCUUCUUCCUUUUUCUCCUUAUCCUUUUUAUGUCCUUUUUUUUCUUUCUUUCUACUUUUCUAAAUACCCUCUGCUGAUAAACAUGUUUAUCCUCCUCGGUUUCUGUCCUUGUGCAGAUUCUUCUCUGCAUUGAGAUUGUCACCCAGGAGCCAGAUAAAGAAGUGCCUGCGAUAAUAGCCGUGUCUGGAUCUGUCCCGCCAGUUUUCUGAUGGCAAAGCCUGGAGCUAAAAUAUGUGAGCUGCCCUAACACAAACAGUGUUCCACUCUUCUUGGACCUGAAAGCCCUCCUGGCUGGCUCCCAGUUCCCAUGAAAACUGUUGCUGAAAUUGUCAUUGGAAGCUUGAGGGAGAUGCAAGAAAAAGCAGGACACACAAAUGAGAGAGGCAGAUGACUGGAAAUUCAAAGCCGUUAGGAACAGCACAAGAGUGAGUGCUGGAUGUGCAGAGCAGGCAGAAGCACACAGAACUGGACUGCCACUCGGUGGUGGUGGAGAUGGAUGAUCAUUUCUUCUGCCAUUACCCACUGGCACUGACAUGACACAGCUGCAUCGUCAACCAGCCAAGAUAAAGUGGUCACAAAUGGAGGUGCAGAAGUACUGUGCGACUUCAGUAUAGCAUCCUAGGAAUGCCAGAGCAAUUAUAAAUAGACUUUAUAAGUGAUUCUGAAAAGGACAAUAGGAAGCCAAAUGCCAUAAAACUUAAUUUAGUCCAACAGUAAAACACCAUUAUCAAAGAGAAUUGUCUGGUCUGCUCUAUCACAUCAGUGACUUGUACACUUACCUGCUAUCAUUCAUCCAUGAUUUUCUGUGGAAUGUAUCAAAAUGACAUUACUGUUCUGGUGGAUUGUUCAUCAUGGAGCUCUUACUUCAAUGCUACAACAUUGGGAUGCUUUUGAUAGCUAUGACAUACCUUAGAUUAAAUCAUCUCCCCUGUUUGCAUCACACUAGAUUGUAUAGAUGAGCCACUCUUCUUUUUCAGGAUCAAAGGACAUCCUACUGCACUUCAGAAACUCAUUAAAUCUAUAUUUAUAAAUAAAGCAUUUGUUCCAACAGCACCAGGUGUCCUUGAACCACUACAAUGAGCAGCUCUGCAGGACGUGUCCUAAAUGUACUCAAGGCUCCACUGAAUGAUGAAAAUGUGACUUGUCUGUUAAGUGGCCUGGGAACAACUUGUUAUGGCCUAUAAAGCAGUAGAAAAAGUGCACAUGGUGCUUCCAGAGCUGAAACACAAAUCUAAUUACUCUCCCAUCAGAUGGCUUCUUUGAGACUCUGAAAAACUGCUUGACUGACUACAAAGUUUGCUUUGUGGAUUAAUAGGCUAAUUUAAUAUCCUACAGUCCUCACUUUGUGUGAACUACUGCUUCAUGAACUUUGUUGUGCAGAUAUUAAUUGCUUUGGCCUUUAUGUAAUAUAUGUGUAUAUUGUUGCUGCUUUUGCAAAUGAGAUCUGCCUUGUGUAACCUUUUUAUCCCGUGACUGCUGUUAGUUUUUUGUUUGUUUGUUUAUCCCUACAAACGGAAAAUAAAUCAAUUUGUUUUCCAA